GUUUGGCUGAACAUUGGAGUGUUUGGGAGAAAUGGUUAGAGCUGCCAAAAUAUCCCUUGUUUAUAAUCUAGGGCCUUGAAUGUCAACCAAAAUCUGUAAGCUAUUCAGAAAACCAUGGUAAAACAUUAACGGCUGCUGAGCAGGGAAAUGAUAUGAUAAGUGCUGUUUUAGGAAGAUUAUUCUACCUGCUGGCCACAACGGUUAGUUCAGGAUGGUUGACUGAAGAUGUUAGGAGCUCCUAUUCAUUCAUGCAUUCCAUAUUUAUGAAGCAUUUGCUCUGUGCCAGAUACUUGUCUGAGUUCUGGAGACAAAGUAAUGAAUGAGAUAGAUAUGGCUCUUACCUUCGUGGUGGUUAUCUCCUAGUUGAAGAGAAAGAUAAGAAACACAAAAGAUAAAAUGAAAAUAAGUAAGAUAAUCUCAGUUAAUGAGUUCCAUAAAGAAACUACAACAGGAAAGCAAAAUAAAAAGUGAAUGGGAAUUUCUCAGGUUAAUAUUGGGAGGUUGGGUUGAGUGUGAUGUUAGAUAAAGGGUAUCACUUGGUCACUUGGGGGAGGUAACAAUUGAGUUAAAAUUUAAAUGAUAAGAAAGAAAAAUUGUUCUGAGCAGACAAAACAGCAUGGGCAAAAUUUCCAAUUUGGGUCAACACUUAGACUGUUUGAAGUGCAGAAAGCAGGUCAGUGGAACAGGAGCAGAAUAAAUGAUGGCAAAAAAUGAUAAGUGAGGAGGUAUUAACAAUUCCUAGUUUUGCAUUGGUUUUAAAAUUUUAUGACACUGUGGUAGUUAAUUUUAUGUGUCAACUUGACUGGGCCAAGGGGUGCCCAAAUAUUUAGUUAAACAUUAUUCUGGGUGUGUCUCUAAGAGUUUCUGUAUGAGAUUAAGGUGUGAAUUGGUAAACCGAGUAGAGCAGAUGGCCCUCCCCAGUGUGGGUAGGCCUCACGCAAUUAAUUGAAGGAAGAAACACAAUAGUCUCCCCAUUUCUGGGGUGGAUGUCGUCAGUGGAUGCCUCAAACCCUGGAUCAUACCUAAUCCCAUAAACACGGUUUUUUUCCUAUACAGCAACGGGUGUGUUCUAUAUACAGCAUGGUACACUGGAUGAAGGGAUGACUCAUAUCCCAGAUACUUCUGUCUUGAUUGCUGUUGCAUCACCCAACAAUUUGGAUUUUUAAAUGAUCAUCCCCCUCAGUCUUGUGUGAAAUGGCUUGAAGGAGUCAAGAGUGUGAACAAUCUGAAUGAUUAAUAUAUAAUUGAAAUAGUUCCUGUGGAGAAAUCAUGGUGACUUGUAUUGGUGUUGUUGUAAGGGGGAAAAGUGAACAGAUGUAUUUUGGAGAUAGGUCUUGGAGCAGGAUUGCAUGUUGGAAGUGAGAAGUGGAGAGAUAACAGAAAUCACUCCUAGAAGUCUUGCUUAAUCAAUUAAGUGCAUGGUAGAACCAUUUACUGAGGUAGGGAAGAUCAGGAAAGAUAUACAUUUCUAGGGGGUGAUCUGGAACUGGUUUUAAGAUUAGACUCACAAAAUGUCUUUUAGGUAGCCAAUUAGGUAUGCCGGUUAUAGCCUUGUUUAUAAAAUUAUUUAUGUUUCUCAAAGUAGCCAAGCUCAGGGUUGGUUCUCCCUAGAAAACUGUUGCCCUAAAUUUUAGCUUGUUCCUUCUCAUUAUUCAGAUCCAGGACUUAAAUGUUCACAUUCCUACAAAGACUAGCCCUAUUUCUCAUGCCCUUUAAACUCCUGAUCCCAUUCUAGUUUUACUGUCACACUACCCUGUUUCUUUUCCUCAGCGCAUUUAUCACUAUCUGAAAUUAUCUUAUUUAUUUUACUUUUUAACCUUUAUAUUUUACUGAUACAUAAUAAUUGAAAUCAUUUAUUUUUGUUUACUGGGUUACUGUUUGCUUUCCUUAACUAGAAUGUAGUUCUGUAAGAAAGGAUCCUGUAUCAGUUUUGUUCAGUCUGUAUCCAUGGAGAGAUUACCUGGUGCUAUGGGCUAAAUUGUAUCGCCUCACCACUCACAUGGUGAAACCCUAACUCCCACCAUGACAGCGUUUGAAGACCGAGUCUUUGGGAGGUAAUUAAGUUUAAACGAGAUCUGAGGGUAGGGUGCUCAUGAUGUGCUUCUUGCUGUGUCUUCAUAUGGUGGAGAGAGAUGGAGGAAGCAAGCUUUCUGGUUUCUCUUCCUAUAAGGGUACUAAUUCAUCAAGAAGGGCAUCUGCCAUCUGUAAGCCUGGAAGAGAGCCCUCACUAAGGAACUAAAUCAGCUGGUAUCUUGAUCUGGGACUUCCCAAACUCCAGACUGUGAAAAAUAAAUUCCUAUUGUUUAAGCUAUCCAGUCUGUGGUAUUUUGUUAUGACACCUGGAAUGGAGAAGAUGCACCAUAUAUAUAAAUACACAUAUAUGUGAA
rnacentral:lncRNA from 1 species